rnacentral:rRNA from 1 species
GAUGAACGCUGGCGGCGUGCUUAACACAUGCAAGUCGAACGGAAAGGCCCAAGCUUGCUUGGGUACUCGAGUGGCGAACGGGUGAGUAACACGUGGGUGAUCUGCCCUGCACUUCGGGAUAAGCCUGGGAAACUGGGUCUAAUACCGGAUAGGACCACAUUUUGGAUGGUGUGGUGGAAAGUUUUUCGGUGUGGGAUGAGCUCGCGGCCUAUCAGCUUGUUGGUGGGGUAAUGGCCUACCAAGGCGUCGACGGGUAGCCGGCCUGAGAGGGUGUACGGCCACAUUGGGACUGAGAUACGGCCCAGACGCCGACGGGAGGCAGCAGUGGGGAAUAUUGCACAAUGGGCGCAAGCCUGAUGCAGCGACGCCGCGUGGGGGAUGACGGCCUUCGGGUUGUAAACUCCUUUCGCUAGGGACGAAGCGUUAUGUGACGGUACCUGGAGAAGAAGCACCGGCUAACUACGUG